CGGCGACGGGUGAGUAACACGUGGAUAACCUACCUAUAAGACUGGGAUAACUUCGGGAAACCGGAGCUAAUACCGGAUAAUAUAUUGAACCGCAUGGUUCAAUAGUGAAAGACGGUUUUGCUGUCACUUAUAGGUGGAUCCGCGCCGCAUUAGCUAGUUGGUAAGGUAACGGCUUACCAAGGCAACGAUGCGUAGCCGACCUGAGAGGGUGAUCGGCCACACUGGAACUGAGACACGGUCCAGACUCCUACGGGAGGCAGCAGGC
rnacentral:rRNA from 1 species